CAACAAGUUCCAUAAAUAAGGUGUGUGUGACUAAAAGACCCUUUAGAAGUGGUGCGAGUCAAGAGUGAGUGCAGAAGAUGAUCUCAAAGCACAAAUAAAGAAGGUCAGAUAAAUAUGAAGGCUGUGCAGACCGCGGCUCCUCUGCUCCCUGGUCCUGAGACUCAGGAGCCUGCCAGGAGUCUCGGCUCUGAGCCCAGGCCCUCCUCUUGAAACUGGCAGGGGCGGACUCGCACUCCUCCAUGUCCUUGGCUCGGACGGGAAACUACAGUGAGGGACAGUUCACCUGCACAAAAAGCAAAGAGGGACAGACUCAGAUCUGAAUUGCACAACAAUAUCCAGGCCCCCAUCUCUCCAAAGGGAUUGGUGGCAGGUCCAAAGAAGAGUGAUGUGACUGUCUUUUGUCAUAUGAAGCAGUCUUCCUUUAGAGAACCAAGCCACAUAAACCGAAACUUUGCACAUAUGCUCGUCUGAGCAAGAACACAAAUGCAUGAGCCGACAUGUCUUUGAUGCAUUACUUGCACAUGAAGUUGGUGAAGGGUGUUAACUGAAAACAGAAUGUGUAAUAGACUAGGUGUCAGCACAUUAAACAGCACCGUCUCCAAUCAACACAGACUCUCAAAGACUAAAUAGCAUGCAUGGACGCAAUCAAACACAGACUCUGAAAUUACAUAUAUUAUCCUAAAUGUGUAUGACUUCCCACUUUCAAGAAUAAAUACAGUCAUUCUCUGUAAUUAUUGCUGAACCCGUAAACUCUAAUAAAUGUUUGCAUGAUGAUAAAUGUAAAUCUGAAAUCUACAGUGCAUGUGGAAAAAUUGCAUAAAAGUGCCUCUUUGAAAAAGACA